rfam:Schistocephalus solidus strain NST_G2 genome assembly, scaffold: SSLN_scaffold0004341
CCAAAGGCUUUUUUCAGAGCCACGAAGGUAGUGUAGAGAAGGAUU